GUGGCGAACGGGUGAGUAACACGUGGGCAAUCUGCCCUGCACUCUGGGACAAGCCCUGGAAACGGGGUCUAAUACCGGAUAUGACUACCGGCCGCAUGGUCUGGUGGUGGAAAGCUCCGGCGGUGCAGGAUGAGCCCGCGGCCUAUCAGCUUGUUGGUGGGGUGAUGGCCUACCAAGGCGACGACGGGUAGCCGGCCUGAGAGGGCGACCGGCCACACUGGGACUGAGACACGGCCCAGACUCCUACGGGAGGCAGCAGUGGGGAAUAUUGCACAAUGGGCGAAAGCCUGAUGCAGCGACGCCGCGUGAGGGAUGACGGCCUUCGGGUUGUAAACCUCUUUCAGCAGGGAAGAAGCGAAAGUGACGGUACCUGCAGAAGAAGCGCCGGCUAACUACGUGCCAGCAGCCGCGGUAAUACGUAGGGCGCGAGCGUUGUCCGGAAUUAUUGGGCGUAAAGAGCUCGUAGGCGGCUUGUCGCGUCGGAUGUGAAAGCCCGGGGCUUAACCCCGGGUCUGCA
rnacentral:rRNA from 1 species